rnacentral:lncRNA from 1 species
CCCAAUGAAAUGGCACGUUUUUGGCUUUCUGAAGGGGAAAAAAAAUGAAACCCUAAAAGCAACCCUCUCCCUGUUCGAGCAGCAGCAGCCCCCAUCCCCCCUAACUCUCUCAGUCUCACUUAAGGAGUAGAGCCUCUGACUCUCACACUCCCAAAAAAGCACCGCCCACCGCCACCUCCACCGCUACCGCCGGGCUACUCUGCUUCGUCUCGUGACUCUCGCGUCGACCCCUGUGCAUCUCCUUCCUGGCUCGUCGCCUCCUCUGCGUGACAGCGUCUCGCGUCGUCGUCGUUGUCAUCGCG